rnacentral:rRNA from 1 species
GACGAACGCUGGCGGCGUGCCUAACACAUGCAAGUCGAACGGAGAGGCUAAGAACAAGACUUCGGUCAAGUGAUUAGUUUUCUUAGUGGCGGACGGGUGAGUAACGCGUGAGCAAUCUGCCUUUCAGAGGGGGAUAACGUUCUGAAAAGAACGCUAAUACCGCAUAACGUAUAUUGAUGGCAUCAUCGAGAUACCAAAGGAGCAAUCCGCUGAAAGAUGAGCUCGCGUCUGAUUAGAUAGUUGGUGGGGUAACGGCCUACCAAGUCGACGAUCAGUAGCCGGUCUGAGAGGAUGAACGGCCACAUUGGGACUGAGAUACGGCCCAGACUCCUACGGGAGGCAGCAGUGGGGAAUAUUGGGCAAUGGGGGAAACCCUGACCCAGCAACGCCGCGUGAAGGAAGAAGGCCUUCGGGUUGGUAAACUUCUUUUACCUAGGGACGAAGAACGUAGACGGUACC